rnacentral:rRNA from 1 species
UACGGAGGAUGCAAGCGUUAUCCGGAUUUAUUGGGUUUAAAGGGUGCGCAGGUUGUUUGAUAAGUCAGUGGUGAAAGUCUGUCGCUUAACGGUAGGAUUGCCAUUGAUACUGUUGGACUUGAAUAUGGAUGAGGUAGGCGGAAUGUGUAGUGUAGCAGUGAAAUGCAUAGAUAUUACACAGAACACCGAUUGCGAAGGCAGCUUACUAAUCCAUCAUUGACGCUGAGGCACGAAAGCGUGGGGAGUCAAACA